GCCUGUGGGAUAGCUCAGUUGGUAGAGCCUGAGACUCUUAAGAUCUCAAGGUCAAGGGUUCGAGCCCCAUGUUGGGCA